GAUGAACGCUGGCGGCGUGCCUAAUACAUGCCAGUCGAGCGAACAGACGAGGAGCUUGCUCCUUUGACGUUAGCGGCGGACGGGUGAGUAACACGUGGGUAACCUACCUAUAAGACUGGGAUAACUUCGGGAAGCCGGAGCUAAUACCGGAUAAUAUUUCGAACCGCAUGGUUCGAUAGUGAAAGAUGGCUUUGCUAUCACUUAUAGAUGGACCUGCGCCGUAUUAGCUAGUUGGUAAGGUAACGGCUUACCAAGGCAACGAUACGUAGCCGACCUGAGAGGGUGAUCGGCCACACUGGAACUGAGACACGGUCCAGACUCCUACGGGAGGCAGCAGUAGGGAAUCUUCCGCAAUGGGCGAAAGCCUGACGGAGCAACGCCGCGUGAGUGAUGAAGGUCUUCGGAUCGUAAAACUCUGUUAUUAGGGAAGAACAAACGUGUAAGUAACUGUGCACGUCUUGACGGUACCUAAUCAGAAAGCCACGGCUAACUACGUG
rnacentral:rRNA from 1 species